AGUGAACGCUGGCGGUAGGCCUAACACAUGCAAGUCGAACGGCAGCACAGUAAGAGCUUGCUCUUACGGGUGGCGAGUGGCGGACGGGUGAGGAAUACAUCGGAAUCUACUUUUUCGUGGGGGAUAACGUAGGGAAACUUACGCUAAUACCGCAUACGACCUACGGGUGAAAGCAGGGGAUCUUCGGACCCUGCGCGAUUGAAUGAGCCGAUGUCGGAUUAGCUAGUUGGCGGGGUAAAGGCCCACCAAGGCGACGAUCCGUAGCUGGUCUGAGAGGAUGAUCAGCCACACUGGAACUGAGACACGGUCCAGACUCCUACGGGAGGCAGCAGUGGGGAAUAUUGGACAAUGGGCGCAAGCCUGAUCCAGCCAUACCGCGUGGGUGAAGAAGGCCUUCGGGUUGUAAAGCCCUUUUGUUGGGAAAGAAAGGCAGCAGGUUAAUACCCCGCUGUUCUGACGGUACCCAAAGAAUAAGCACCGGCUAACUUCGUG
rnacentral:rRNA from 1 species